rnacentral:tRNA from 1 species
GUUAGAGCGCUUCGCUGAUAACGAAGAGGUCCGUGGUUCAAGUCCACGUAGGCCCACGA